CGUCGGCAAGGGCCGCGGUGGGCCUGCCGAGGACUACCGGGCAACCCGGCCGUGAAAGUCCGGGUCCCGAACGUAGAAAAAGAGCGCGGGCCGCGGGGCGGAGCCUUUGUAGAGGUUCUCGCGGGAACAGCGACCCCUUCAGGAUCGCCGCGGGGCGCGCCGGGAGCUUGGCCAGUUCCGCCUCGGGGAGGGUCGUGUUCGUUGUCAGGUGCUCGCCGCUGGGCGGCUGAGGCGCUGCGUGUUUGCAAUUAAGCCCCUGAGAACCAAGAGCAGAGACAACCCAAAUACCCCCUUUUUGUUUUAAGUGAAAAUGUGGAAGUUGUAGCAUAAAAUUACAGUAUCUGUGAAAUUAGAACCCCCAGCUCCCUGUCAUCUUGUAGCACCCGCGCCCCGCUGGUCCCUGACGCCUGGAUGGCACUUGGCGAACGUUUGCAGUAUAGGGUCGAAUUUAAUGUCCCCACCGAGCCUGUUGUUCAUUCAUUCAGCAUUAUUGAAUAUCUGCCGUGUACCAGGAUUGAAUCAUGUGCUGGAGAUACCACGCUGAACAAGACUGUCCCUGCCCUCAGGAAGCUCUCAGUUCGGUUACGUGACAACCUUCAGGGACACCCCCUUCCCCCUGCUCCAGUUUUGUUUCUAUUUGCUGCCACAAGGAUUUUGUGACUGCCUAACGUGCUGGAUUACAAGAUCAACACUAGGUGCAUACUUGGUGCGAAAUACGGUGCCCAGGACACCAAGUGCCGGGUGGAGAACGUAUAAGAUGUUUCCUUUACACAAGUUGGAAAGAUGGAUACUCCCCAAAUUACAGCUCAAACCAUGUGACAGCUUGCUCAAGCAUCUUCAGUCUCCAUUGCCUACCAAUGGUUUCUGAAGAGAAUUCUUAUCCUGCUCCUUUGUAGGUAAGGCGUUUUUUAUUUCCAGCUUCUUUCAAGACUUUUUGUCUUUAUUUUCUGCAAUUUGAAUAUGAUAUGCCUAGGUAUAAAUUUUUUUGAAUUUUAUUAUACUUGUUCUCUGAGUUUCCUUAAUAUGUGGUUUAUAUUUGUCAUUAAUUUUGGAAAAUUCUCAGCCAUUAUUCAUAAUUUCUUUUCCUUUCUCUUUCUCCUUCUCCUGCUACUCCCAUUGAAUUUUUGUAAUUGUCACAUAGUUCUUGGAUAUUCUAUUCCAUUUUUUCUCUUCUUUUUUCUCUUUGCUUUUCAGAUAUUGACAUAUCUUCAAGCUUACUAAUUCCUUUAUUGGCCAUGUCCAGUCUACUGAUGAGUCCAUCAAAGGCAUUCUUCAUUUCUUUUACAGUGUUUCUGAUUUUUAGCAUUUAAUUUUGAUUCUUUAUUAAGGCUUACAUGUCUCUACUUAUAUUACUUACCUGUUUUUACAUGUUGUCGAUUUUUUAUAUUAGAGCCCUAGGAUAUUU